UACGUAGGGUGCAAGCGUUGUCCGGAAUUAUUGGGCGUAAAGAGCUCGUAGGUGGCCUGUCGCGUCGGCUGUGAAAACUCGGGGCUCAACUCCGAGCUUGCAGUCGAUACGGGCAGGCUAGAGUUCGGCAGGGGAGACUGGAAUUCCUGGUGUAGCGGUGAAAUGCGCAGAUAUCAGGAGGAACACCGGUGGCGAAGGCGGGUCUCUGGGCCGAUACUGACGCUGAGGCAUGAAAGCGUGGGGAGCAAACAGG
rnacentral:rRNA from 1 species